rnacentral:rRNA from 1 species
CCCCUAGAUGUUCUGGGCCGCACGCGCGCUACACUGAACAGUUCAACAAGUCUUAACCUUGGCCGAUAGGUCUGGGUAAUCUUUGAACGCUGUUCGUGAUUGGGAUAGACCUUUGCAAUUAUGGGUCUUCAACGAGGAAUUCCUAGUAAACGCAAGUCAUCAGCUUGCAUUGAUUACGUCCCUGCCCUUUGUACACACCGCCCGUCGCACCUACCGAUUGAAUGGACCGGUGAAAUCUCGGGACGGCGGCUUGGUCGCUUGCGUCCGACUGCUGAAACUUGAUUAAACCAUAUCAUUUAGAGGAAGGUGAAGUCGUAACA